UCCCACAUUCCGCGGAGCGGCUCGGCCCGUGAGCCAUGGCCGCUGAGCCUGCGCGUCCGGAGCCUGUGCUCCGCAACGGCAGGAGCCACGGCAGUGAGAGGCCCGCGUACCGCAAAACAACAACAAAAAAAAAACGUUCACUGGUUGUUAAAAGGAAAAGCUCUCCUUAUCGUCAGAAUCGCUGUUUGAAAGCUUCAGAUCUUCUGGGAAGCAAUGGAGGUCAAUAAUGUUCAUCAAGCCUGGCUCAAGUUCUAAGGGCUGCAUGUUCGGCUGAGGUCUCAGUGCUACAGGAGCGAGAUGCGGGAGUAGGUGGCUGUCUGUUCCACCCGGCCUUAUCGCCCGACCCCUCCUCCCUUCCGCGCGCCCGCCCCUGCGCAGAGCUUUUUACUGCCAGGGCCCCACCCUCCCGCAAGGGGUGGCCUCCCAGCACCUGAGCCCGGGGGUGAAACUGUGACCCUCAGCAGCCUCUUCUGUUACAGGCGGGUGAGGCCCAGGGGCUCCCCAUUUGGGUCAGUUACACCCAUCUGGAAGCAUCUGGUCAGCAUUUGGGAAUGGCUUAAACAGUAACUGUACAAUUAAAGGCACUAGGAAGCAUUGGGAUGGAAACCAAGAAUUGCCAGUCUAGUUACCACAUACAAAUGUACCAAAUUUCUGACACUGCAGAAAUACAAAGGAUCAUGAGAGAUUACUACAAGGAACUCUAUGCCAAUAAAAUGGACAACCUGGAAAAAAUGGACAAAUUCUUAGAAAAGAACAACCUUCCGACACUGAACCAAGAAAAAAUAGAAAAUAUAAACAGACCAAUCACAAGCACUAAAAUUGAGACUGUGAUUAAAAAUCUUCCAACAAACAAAAGCCCAGGACCAGAUGGCUUCAAAGGUGAAUUCUAUCAAACAUUUAGAGAAGAGCUAACACCUAUCCUUCCCACUCUUCCAAAAUAUAGCAGAGGGAGGAACACUUUCCAACUAAUUCUACGAGGCCACCAUCACCCUGAUACCAAAAACAAAGAUGUCACAAAGAAAGAAAACUAUAGGCCAAUAUCACUGAUGAACAUAGAUGCAAAAAUCCUCAACAAAAUACUAGCAAACAGAAUCCAA